GGAUGUGAGGGUGAUCUGGCUGCAACAUCUGUCACUUCAUUGAUUGCCAGGCUUGAUUCAGCUGAUCUGGCUGGCUAGGAGGGUGGUCCCUUCCUCCCUCACUGCUCCAUGUGUGUCCCUCUCAAAGCUGUGUGCUCAGCUGAAGGGGGCAAUCACUCCCAACAACAGAGGAGUGAGUGUUUCCUCAGUCAAGGGUAUAUGAGCAACUGUGUUCCUCUGCUAGAAUCUCCAAAGAAGCUCUCAAGAAUAACUAGUAGAAUUCAAUCGGUAAUUCUACCUACAAUAAUUUUGUGGUACAAACAGAAUAUU
ensembl:misc_RNA 7SK 7SK RNA